UGCCAUAGCACAGCACCUUCCCUCGCCAGC
rnacentral:piRNA from 1 species